rnacentral:lncRNA from 1 species
CUAGCCUGCACUGUUUUAGGAAGGAAAAAAGCAGUAAAUCAGAAAGAUUGAUGUUCUGGUUGCAUUUUACUAUUAUUAUUAUUUGUUUUAUUUUCUAUUUGAUUAGCUAGAACCUUGCAAGUUGGACAAACAGGUUGCAUCAAAUAAAUUAUUUCUAUUGCAUGCCAGGAGUGAGAGAGAAAUCUGAUUUCUUUCAGUGAUCCAGUUAACACUGUGUAACACACCUAUACCAAAAAAAAAAAAAAAAGAAAAAGAAAACCUGAAGACUUUUGGUUGGCUGAAACGCAGCUGCUGCUGCUGCCAAGACCGUCGGCCACCUUGAAAAGCCACCAUUGGUACUUGGCGGCACUGUUUCUUUGUUUGUCACCAAGGCAUUUGCUGCCGUGGGCGCUUUGGACUGUGGUAACUGUAGCAGGCCCUUGCAAUUCUGAGCGGCGUUGGCUGAGGCCCUUGGUAUUCGAGACAAACGUUAUUUUUCUAAAGCCAGCAAGGCGAACGCUGCACCCGCUUCGAUGUCCCUUUUAA